GGGAAGCUUCGAGCUGACCGGCAUAAGGCUGAGUAACACGUCAGUAACCUACCCUAUGGUUUGGGAUAGCUUCGGGAAACUGAAGGUAAUACCAAAUAGAAACUUGUUUCUGGAAUGAGCUUGUUUUCAAAGAUUCCGCCGUAGGAUGGGCUGGCGGCUGAUUAGGUUGAUGGUGGGGUAAUGGCCCACCAUGCCGACGAUCAGUAGGGGCCAUGAGAGUGGUAACCCCCAGAAGGACACUGAGAUACUGGUCCUAGCCCUACGGGGUGCAGCAGCCGCGUAACCUUUACAAUGCACGAAAGUGUGAUAAGGGGAUUCCAAGUGCUUAUGCAACGCAUAGGCUUUUGCCAAGAGUAAAUAUCUUGGCGAAUAAGUGGUGGGAAAGACCGGUGCCAGCAGCCGCGGUAACACCGGCGCCGCGAGUGGCAAUCGUUAUUACUGGGUCUAAAGCGUCCGUAGUUGGUUUGAUCAAUCUUUUGUGAAAUCGUGACUGUCAACAUCACGGCCUGCGGAAGAUAUUGUCAAACUAGGGACCGGGAGGAGCUAAGGCUAUUGUUGAGGGAGCGGUAAAAUGUGAUAAUCUCAACAAGAGCACCUGUGGCGAAGGCGCUUAGCUAGAACGGAUCCGACAAUGAGGGACGAAGGCUAGGGGAGCGAACCGGAUUAGAUACCCGAGUAGUCCUAGCAGUAAACGCUGUGAACUAGGUGUUGCGCAUCUUUCGAGGUGUGCAGUGUCGAAGCGAAGGCGAUAAGUUCACCACCUGGGAAGUACGGUCGCAAGACUGAAACUUAAAGGAAUUGGCGGGGGAGCACUACAAGGGGUGCGGCGUGCAGUUUAAUCUAACUUAACACAGAGAAUCUCACCAGAGGCGACGGCAUGAUGAAGGUCAGCCUGAAGGGCUUACCUGAGGAGCCGAGAGGUAGUGCAUGGCCGCCGUCAGCUCGUGCUGUAAGGUGUCCUGUUAAGUCAGGUAACGAGCGAGAUCUGUGCUUACAAUUGCCAGCGGCUUCUACGGAAGGACUGGGCACAUUGUAGGGACUGCCUCGGAAACGAGGAGGAAGGUGCAGGCAACGGUAGGUCUUUAUGCUCCGAAUCUUCUGGGCAACAUGCGCGCAACAAUGGUAAGGACAAUGGGAUACUACUCCGAAAGGAGGCGUCAACCCUCGAAACCUUAUCCUAGUACAGAUCGUGGGCUGGAACUCGCCCACGUGACGCUGGAAU
rnacentral:rRNA from 1 species